GUGCUCACUUCGGCAGCACAUGUACGAAAACCAGAACGCUACAAAGAAGGUUAGUGUGGCCCCUGUGCCAGGAUAACACACAGAUUCGUGAAGCAUUCCAUAUAAAA